UUGCACCAGAAGUAGCUAGUCUAACCUUCGGGAGGACGGUUACCACGGUGUGAUUCAUGACUGGGGUGAAGUCGUAACAAGGUAGCCGUAGGGGAACCUGCGGCUGGAUCACCUCCUUA
rnacentral:rRNA from 1 species